rnacentral:ncRNA from 1 species
CCUUAUCUUGGGGUCGUCGGUUUUCCCCCGCCCAGGCGGUACGGAAAUGAAAAGGGAAGCUGGUGACGCCGCAAGGCCAUUCCAGCACUGCCCCGCAGCGGUAAGUGGGAACGAACCCGUCAUUGCACUGGGAUGCCAACGGCAACCUGGGAAGCGACGGGCAAGGAGAGGCAGCAACGCGUUGAGGGAAACGGGAAACGAGAGAAGGCAGGAUCUGUUGCCUCCACUCGUUCCUCACUCCUCCCCAUUCGUUCCUCGCCUCGAGCCCGCAAGUCCGAAGACCUGCCGACAGCCGCGCGAUGCA